CUGCUCAAUGUUUGCGAGUGAACAGAGAUGCGUGAGGUGGAAGAAAAUAGGAUUUCAGGUCUUGGGAAUUAAGAAUGGCACCCAAUGGCUUCAUGACACCACUGUGUAUUCAACAGGAAUAAGCUGUGUUGACAAGAAAGGUUAGCGCUGGAAAAGUUUCUCUUCCCACUGACAUGGAAAAGUGGGAUAGAUCUCGGAGAAGCGUUGACGUUCCCAUCCAGAAGAAUUCCAGCACCCCCUAAUGUCACAAUGGAGUUACUGAAGUACUCAACUCACAACAGCACAACAGUUUAAAAGCAAAAAAACAGCCAAGAGGUACUUGCAUUUCCAAACUCUGGUGGAAGCUGAGAGGAACAAUGUUACAGUAAUUGUCAAUAGUGCCGCCAAAAGUUUUAAAGUUGAAAUGGAGCAGUGAGUAAUUUGGCUAAAUCUGUUUCAUUUAUGUAGGAGUACACAAAGCUAGAAAUGUACCCUGGAGGUACAAUAAGUCAUUUCCAUGUUUUAAGUUUGUUUUAAGUGUUCACACUGAGAGAAGAAUGAUGUGUUAUUGCCCCGAGGUAAAGAGACAAACUUCCUGCACAUGUUCUCUGAGGAGACAAGAACUUCCUGAGGUUAAAAGUCAACACCGGAUGAAAUACUUGCUUACUAGUUACUGAAUACUGCAUACUAUUUGAAAAACAUCAGUAUUAAGAAAGCACAAGUAUGCAUAACUGUCAUGUUUUUAAUAUAAUUCUAUGCAAUCCAAUCAAUACUAAUGACAGAAUUGUUGAUAUUAGUGCAGAAGUAGUGAGAUGGUAGUAGGCUUUCCAAACAGAACCAGGAUGAACGAUACAAUCAAAAUCAUUCCUCUAUUUCAGCAGCAUCUUUGGGCAUUAGUUAGUCACAGUUACAUUUGGUGUAUUUAGUCUUUCUUUCUGUCAUAAUUUGGCUUUGAACGUGUUUGGCAUAUUCUCUGUUUAGCUAACAGCUUGAGGGACUCGAUUUGGAGAAGUGUAAUAUAAUUAUGAGCUUAUUAAUAUGUGUGUUUGCAUGUGUUGUGAAAAAUGUGGUAGACAUCGUCAUUUGCUCUGCUGCCUUUCCACCUUUGCUCAGGUGUUAAACCUCUAUGAGAUAUGCAGAGUGAUUUUUGAUGAUAGAUAUGAUGG
ensembl:lncRNA